GCGAAGUGGUUGCGGGGAGCGGGGGUAAGACAGGGGGUGGUAAAGGUGUUGGGAAUGACUGUGCGUGAAGCGUGUGUAGGCGGCUAAGCAAGUCGGGUGUGAAAGCCCUUGGCUCAACUGAGGAAGAGCACUCGAAACUGCGUAGCUUGAGGUCUGGAGAGGAUGGUGGAAUUCUCGGUGUAGAGGUGAAAUUCGUAGAUAUCGAGAGGAACACCAGUGGCGAAGGCGGCCAUCUGGACAGAAACUGACGCUGAGACGCGAAAGCGUGGGUAGCAAACAGGAUUAGAUACCCUGGUAGUC
rnacentral:rRNA from 1 species